UGCAGGUGUUCUUGCUCUCAGCUCAGA
rnacentral:piRNA from 1 species